AACGAACGCUGGCGGCAUGCCUAACACAUGCAAGUCGAACGAGAUCUUCGGGUCUAGUGGCGCACGGGUGCGUAACGCGUGGGAAUCUGCCCUUUGGUUCGGAAUAACAGUUGGAGACGACUGCUAAUACCGGAUGAUGACGAAAGUCCAAAGAUUUAUCGCCAGAGGAUGAGCCCGCGUAGGAUUAGCUAGUUGGUGUGGUAAAGGCGCACCGAGGCGACGAUCCUUAGCUGGUCUGAGAGGAUGAUCAGCCACACUGGGACUGAGACACGGCCCAGACUCCUACGGGAGGCAGCAGUGGGGAAUAUUGGACAAUGGGCGAAAGCCUGAUCCAGCAAUGCCGCGUGAGUGAUGAAGGCCUUAGGGUUGUAAAGCUCUUUUACCCGGGAUGAUAAUGACAGUACCGGGAGAAUAAGCUCCGGCUAACUCCGUGCCAGCAGCCGCGGUAA
rnacentral:rRNA from 1 species